rnacentral:rRNA from 1 species
AGCAGCCGCGGUAAUUCCAGCUCCAAUAGCGUAUAUUAAAGUUGUUGCAGUUAAAAAGCUCGUAGUUGAAUUUCGGGGUCAGUAGGCUGGUCGUGCCACGGGUACGUACUGGUCUUACUGAUUCCUCCUUCCUGAAGAACCGUAAUGCCAUUAAUUUGGUGUUGCGGGGAAACAGGACUGUUACUUUGAAAAAAUUAGAGUGUUUAAAGCAGGCUAACGCUUGAAUACAUUAGCAUGGAAUAAUGAAAUAGGACGAUCGAUCCUAUUUUGUUGGUUUCUAGGAUUGACGUAAUGAUUAAUAGGGAUAGUUGGGGGCAUUAGUAUUCAAUUGUCAGAGGUGAAAUUCUUGGAUUUAUUGAAGACUAACUACUGCGAAAGCAUUUGCCAAGGAUGUUUUCAUUAAUCAAGAACGAAAGUUAGGGGAUCGAAGACGAUCAGAUACCGUCGUAGUCUUAACCAUAAACUAUGCCGACUAGGGAUCGGAUGAUGUUAAUUUUAUAAUGACUCAUUCGGCGCCUUA